rnacentral:lncRNA from 1 species
UCAUAGAGCGCGGUAACGGAGGUGAUGAACUGGCAGCAGAAUCUCGGGCUGGCACUGAAUAUCUGCUUCAGCGUCUGAAUGGAUCCCGGCACCAAACAGCAGUAGUCAUCUACAAGGGCCUUGGCUAACCUCACACAGUAAACCACGGGCGUCCCUGAAGCCAGGAGGCAGCACACUCCAACACCGGGAUUCGACACACAGCCACCGCCAUGGAGACCAGUUUUCCCAACAAGCUCAUCCGGCUGUCAUCGGCUUUGUUCCCUUGAGGGCUGAAAAGGGAUGAAAAAAUAAUCUGCCGAACAGAGUCCUUGGUUUGCUCCUGGAAAUAAUUGCACAUGAUUUCA